AAAAUUGUAAAACCCAGGAACGAAACGUAGAGAUGGAACCAAUUUUUCUUUUUCUUUUUUUUGUGUUUUUGGGGGUUAUAAUAUUGUUCCAAACAAAGAAA